rnacentral:rRNA from 1 species
GACGAACUUUGGCGGCGUGCUUAACACAUGCAAGUCGAACGGAAAGGCCCUGCUUUUGUGGGGUGCUCGAGUGGCGAACGGGUGAGUAACACGUGAGUAACCUGCCCUUGACUUUGGGAUAACUUCAGGAAACUGGGGCUAAUACCGGAUAGGAGCUCCUGCUGCAUGGUGGGGGUUGGAAAGUUUCGGCGGUUGGGGAUGGACUCGCGGCUUAUCAGCUUGUUGGUGGGGUAGUGGCUUACCAAGGCUUUGACGGGUAGCCGGCCUGAGAGGGUGACCGGCCACAUUGGGACUGAGAUACGGCCCAGACUCCUACGGGAGGCAGCAGUGGGGAAUAUUGCACAAUGGGCGGAAGCCUGAUGCAGCAACGCCGCGUGCGGGGUGACGGCCUUCGGGUUGUAAACCGCUUUCGCCUGUGACGAAGCGUGAGUGACGGUAAUGGGUAAAGAAGCACCGGCUAACUACGUGCCAGCAGCCGCGGUGAUACGUAGGGUGCGAGCGUUGUCCGGAUUUAUUGGGCGUAAAGGGCUCGUAGGUGGUUGAUCGCGUCGGAAGUGUAAUCUUGGGGCUUAACCCUGAGCGUGCUUUCGAUACGGGUUGACUUGAGGAAGGUAGGGGAGAAUGGAAUUCCUGGUGGAGCGGUGGAAUGCGCAGAUAUCAGGAGGAACACCAGUGGCGAAGGCGGUUCUCUGGGCCUUUCCUGACGCUGAGGAGCGAAAGCGUGGGGAGCGAACAGGCUUAGAUACCCUGGUAGUCCACGCUGUAAACGGUGGGUACUAGGUGUGGGGUCCAUUCCACGGGUUCCGUGCCGUAGCUAACGCUUUGAGUACCCCGCCUGGGGAGUACGGCCGCAAGGCUAAAACUCAAAGGAAUUGACGGGGCCCCGCACAAGCGGCGGAGCAUGCGGAUUAAUUCGAUGCAACGCGUAGAACCUUACCUGGGUUUGACAUGGAUCGGGAGUGCUCAGAGAUGGGUGUGCCUCUUUUGGGGUCGGUUCACAGGUGGUGCAUGGCUGUCGUCAGCUCGUGUCGUGAGAUGUUGGGUUAAGUCCCGCAACGAGCGCAACCCUUGUUCACUGUUGCCAGCACGUUAUGGUGGGGACUCAGUGGAGACCGCCGGGGUCAACUCGGAGGAAGGUGGGGAUGACGUCAAGUCAUCAUGCCCCUUAUGUCCAGGGCUUCACGCAUGCUACAAUGGCUGGUACAGAGAGUGGCGAGCCUGCGAGGGUGAGCGAAUCUCGGAAAGCCGGUCUCAGUUCGGAUUGGGGUCUGCAACUCGACCUCAUGAAGUCGGAGUCGCUAGUAAUCGCAGAUCAGCAACGCUGCGGUGAAUACGUUCCCGGGGCU